UGAACAUAUAUCUUGUUAUCAUACAAUCAUAUGGUCAAACAACACACAAACAAAAGUAUCCAUAGAAAUCCUAAGCUAAUACCCUUCGGUUAUGUGCUACAAGGUCAUACAAUUUUCAACAUGUGCAAAAGUAAAGUAAAAAUUGGUCAUAAUACAAUUUUUUUUAAAUUCUAAAUGAUUGAUAGGCUAGCAUGGAUUUGGGUGGUUCAGGUGAUCUUCGUGUAUUGGUGCGCUGUUGCAUGUGGGUGGUUUUGGCCGUUGUUAUUAUCGUAGCCAUUGUUUCUUCUGUCGCCGUCGGGCCUGUAAUUCAUGAACCCAAGACUCGUCCCUCCUUGUCAAGGGCUCAGCUCACAGAGAGGUUUCUUUUACAUCAUGGGAGCCUCAAACAGGUUCUCCGUCGUCGUCGUGUCAGCAACAGGUGGCCUGUAAACAACCGUCUCAAAGAAGAUCAACAGUACCAUUAUCAAUGCAGCGAUACAGAAAUAACGGGUUGCACUCGCAACCAAGCAACACUACACAAUAACAAACAUAGUCUGGUAUGGUUGUUUUAAAAUUUGUUAUUCAAGUAAAUCCGGGAUAUUUCCUUGCUCGGCGGUGGUAGUUUGUAGGCUCCGGGUGUGUCUGCAUCUGGUUCUGGAACUUUUUGCUUCUAUUGCAGAAAUACAAACUCAUGUACAGCAGUUAGUUGUUCAAAAACAUAUUUCCAUGAAUUCUAAUUUUAAUUGUUUUACAGUAUCUACUUUGGUUUAAUUUCACACUACAUCCCUCCUUGCGCAUUGCUUCAGCCAUGCGCAUUGAAUGACAACCAAAGCUAACCACGCCGUAGUGCAACCAAG